rnacentral:rRNA from 1 species
AGCCUCAUACAUGCAAGUCGAACGAGAAAGCAUCUUCGGAUGUGAGUAAAGUGGCGGACGGGUGAGUAAUACAUAGGAAUCUACCCAAUGGCGGGGGACAGCUCGAGGAAACUCGAAUUAAUACCGCAUAAUCUCUAAGGAGUAAAGAGGGCUUCGGCUCUCACCAUCGGAUGAGCCUAUGCAAGAUUAGCUUGUUGGUAAGGUAAUGGCUUACCAAGGCUACGAUCUUUAGCUGGUUUGAGAGGAUGACCAGCCACAUCGGGACUGAGACACGGCCCGGACUUCUACGGAAGGCAGCAGUAGGGAAUAUUGGACAAUGAGCGAAAGCUUGAUCCAGCUAUGCCGCGUGUGCGAUGACGGCCCUCGGGUUGUAAAGCACUUUAGGUAACGAGGAAAAGUUAGGUGUUAAUACCACUUAACCAUGACGUUAAUUACAGAAUAAGCACCGG